CACGUAGGGCGCAAGCGUUGUCCGGAAUUAUUGGGCGUAAAGAGCUCGUAGGUGGUUUGUUACGUCUGCUGUGAAAACCUAGGGCUUAACCCUGGGCUUGCAGUGGAUACGGGCAGACUAGAGUGCGGUAGGGGAGACUGGAAUUCCUGGUGUAGCGGUGAAAUGCGCAGAUAUCAGGAGGAACACCGGUGGCGAAGGCGGCAUCCUGGACCAAUUCUGACACUGAGGAGCGAAAGCCAGGGGAGCAAACGGG
rnacentral:rRNA from 1 species